GACGAACCGUGCGAACGUUGUUCGGAUUCACUGGGCUUAAAGGGCGCGUAGGCGGACCGGAUAGUCUGUGGUGAAAGCCCCCAGCUUAACUGGGGAAGUGCCAUGGAUACUGCCGGUCUGGAGGAGGGUAGGGGCAUCUGGAACGCUGGGUGGAGCGGUGAAAUGCGUUGAUAUCCAGCGGAACUCCGGUGGCGAAGGCGAGGUGCUGGACCCUUUCUGACGCUGAUGCGCGAAAGCCAGGGGAGCAAAGCGGG
rnacentral:rRNA from 1 species